AGUGGAUCAAUGGUUUGAAGUCGAUUUUCGAAGCUAGAGGUCGGCGGUUAGAAUCCCGCCUUGUC
rnacentral:tRNA from 1 species